rnacentral:rRNA from 1 species
AACGAACGCUGGCGGCAUGCCUAACACAUGCAAGUCGAACGAGACCUUCGGGUCUAGUGGCGCACGGGCGCGUAACGCGUGGGAACCUGCCCUUAGGUUCGGAAUAACUCCCCGAAAGGGGUGCUAAUACCGGAUAAUGUCUUCGGACCAAAGAUUUAUCGCCUUUGGAUGGGCCCGCGUUGGAUUAGCUAGUUGGUAGGGUAAAAGCCUACCAAGGCGACGAUCCAUAGCUGGUCUGAGAGGAUGAUCAGCCACACUGGGACUGAGACACGGCCCAGACUCCUACGGGAGGCAGCAGUGGGGAAUAUUGGACAAUGGGCGAAAGCCUGAUCCAGCAAUGCCGCGUGAGUGAUGAAGGCCUUAGGGUUGUAAAGCUCUUUUACCCGGGAUGAUAAUGACAGUACCGGGAGAAUAAGCUCCGGCUAACUCCGU